rnacentral:rRNA from 1 species
ACGCUGGCGGCGUGCCUAACACAUGCAAGUCGAGCGAGGGUUUGCUCAGUAUUGAGUAUUCUAAGUCUAGAAUGUUCAAUUCUGAGCAAAACCAAGCGGCGGACGGGUGAGUAACGCGUGGGUAACCUGCCCUAUACACAUGGAUAACAUACUGAAAAGUUUACUAAUACAUGAUAAUAUAUAUUUGCGGCAUCGCAGAUAUAUCAAAGUGUUAGCGGUAUAGGAUGGACCCGCGUCUGAUUAGCUAGUUGGUGAGAUAACUGCCCACCAAGGCGACGAUCAGUAGCCGACCUGAGAGGGUGAUCGGCCACAUUGGAACUGAGACACGGUCCAAACUCCUACGGGAGGCAGCAGUGGGGGAUAUUGCACAAUGGGCGAAAGCCUGAUGCAGCAACGCCGCGUGAACGAUGAAGGUCUUCGGAUCGUAAAGUUCUGUUGCAGGGGAAGAUAAUGACGGUACCCUGUGAGGAAGCCCCGGCUAACUACGUGCCAGCAGCCGCGGUAAUACGUAGGGGGCUAGCGUUAUCCGGAUUUACUGGGCGUAAAGGGUGCGUAGGUGGUCCUUCAAGUCGGUGGUUAAAGGCUACGGCUCAACCGUAGUAAGCCGCCGAAACUGGAGGACUUGAGUGCAGGAGAGGAAAGUGGAAUUCCCAGUGUAGCGGUGAAAUGCGUAGAUAUUGGGAGGAACACCAGUAGCGAAGGCGGCUUUCUGGACUGCAACUGACACUGAGGCACGAAAGCGUGGGUAGCAAACAGGAUUAGAUACCCUGGUAGUCCACGCUGUAAACGAUGAGUACUAGGUGUCGGGGGUUACCCCCCUCGGUGCCGCAGCUAACGCAUUAAGUACUCCGCCUGGGGAGUACGCACGCAAGUGUGAAACUCAAAGGAAUUGACGGGGACCCGCACAAGUA